CCCAGUAACGGCGAGUGAAGCGGCAACAGCUCAAAUUUGAAAUCUGGCCCUCGGGUCCGAGUUGUAAUUUGUAGAGGAUGCUUUUGGCGAGGUGCCUUCCGAGUUCCCUGGAACGGGACGCCAUAGAGGGUGAGAGCCCCGUCUGGUCGGACACCGAGCCUCUGUAAAGCUCCUUCGACGAGUCGAGUAGUUUGGGAAUGCUGCUCAAAAUGGGAGGUAUAUGUCUUCUAAAGCUAAAUAUUGGCCAGAGACCGAUAGCGCACAAGUAGAGUGAUCGAAAGAUGAAAAGCACUUUGAAAAGAGGGUUAAAAAGUACGUGAAAUUGUUGAAAGGGAAGCGCCUAUGACCAGACUUGAGCCCGGUGAAUCAUCCAGCGUUCUCGCUGGUGCACUUUGCCGGGCCCAGGCCAGCAUCAGUUUGGCGCGGGGGAUAAAGGUGACGGGAAUGUGGCUCCCUCGGGAGUGUUAUAGCCCGCUACGUAAUACCCUGCGCCGGACUGAGGUACGCGCAUUGCAAGGAUGCUGGCGUAAUGGUCAUCAGCGACCCGUCUUGAAACACGGACCAAGGAGUCGUCUUCGUAUGCGAGUGUUCGGGUGUCAAACCCCUACGCGUAAUGAAAGUGAACGCAGGUGAGAGCUUCGGCGCAUCAUCGACCGAUCCUGAUGUUCUCGGAUGGAUUUGAGUAAGAGCAUACGGGGCCGGACCCGAAAGAAGGUGAACUAUGCCUGUAUAGGGUGAAGCCAGAGGAAACUCUGGUGGAGGCUCGCAGCGGUUCUGACGUGCGAAUCGAUCGUCAAAUAUGGGCAUGGGGGCGAAAGACUAAUCGAACCUUCUAGUAGCUGGUUUC
rnacentral:rRNA from 1 species